CAGUAGCCACGGUAAUACGUAGGUGGCAAGCGUUGUCCGGAAUUAUUGGGCGUAAAGGGCUCGCAGGCGGUUUCUUAAGUCUGAUGUGAAAUCCCCCGGCUCAACCGGGGAGGGUCAUUGGAAACUGGGAAACUUGAGUGCAGAAGAGGAGAGUGGAAUUCCACGUGUAGCGGUGAAAUGCGUAGAGAUGUGGAGGAACACCAGUGGCGAAGGCGACUCUCUGGUCUGUAACUGACGCUGAGGAGCGAAAGCGUGGGGGGCGAACAGGAUUAGAUACCCCGGUAGUCCCUGUCUCUUAUAC
rnacentral:rRNA from 1 species